GCUGGACCUGGCAUUGGAAGGCUGCUCACUCCACCCCUGCCCCCAUCCUUGGAAUGCGUGCUCCACUUGCCUUUCCUGAGCUAGGAGCUACCCAAGGACACAGCCUUGAGAUAGUAAUGUGGUGUUGCAACCAUCUGGACUAGUAUGUGACUGAACGUUUUAAAGCCUCUCUGGAAACUUACAAGAUUUGGAAGUGGGUGCAGAAAUCUACUUGUCUUGAGGCUGCCCAAGACAAGUCGUGUAGGUCGAUCCCCCCUGCCACCUACCAGUCUGGAGCAACCUGCCUCUUUCUUCUGUCUCACCUGAGCCUCCGUGUCCAGGAGCAAAUUCCAGAUAUGUCCCUGGAAACUUUUGAGGAGGAGCAUAUGGAAAGUUCUAGGAGGUCUGACCAAUGCAGAUCUACUACACAGCCUUCGAUGGCUCCUGAAUACUUACUGACUGCAGGUCUAACCAUGUGUUCUGAGCGCCCUGCAGUUGUUGGUAAGCAAGGAGAGACUGACGAAUUCACCACCGGGGACGGACGCCAUGCGGCACAGAGGAGCUGGUACUGGCUCACUGAUUGGAUCACAGACGGGCAUAGGCUGCAGGUCGAGCAGCCAACUGGAACCUGAAACUGCUUAUUCCCCUCCGGAACCUCCGCCUCCACCUAAGUCACCUUGUGUGGCCGACCGCUUUUAUCCUUUCCUGCCCACUCUGACCUGUCACCAUCACACAUCCCUUUCUCCUUGUCCCCACAUAACUGCGCCUUCUAGGCAGGGACUCUGUGCUCCCUUCUACCAGUAAGCCUCAAACCAGGUGACCCUGCCCUUAGCCAGAACGAAGGCCGAGUCUUUUUUUUUGAAUGAUCUCUUGCCUCUUGGAAAUACUGUGUGACAUAAAAAUAAAGUCAAAUUCU